AUGUACCUUUCUGCUUUUAGUAACAAAGAUGAUGAAAUCUUUGAGCUUGUGACGCAUCCUUCUUACCAAAUGAUCAAAGAUUCUAUUCCAUUCGGAUGUAGCACGGAGUACCCAAGCAUGAUGAACUACGAAAGAACUAAAUAUAUUCCAACAGAUCAAACUGAGAAGAGGUUGCUGGAGAUAAUUCUUAACAUGGAUAAAUUUGCACAUGGCGUUGAAGUGCUGUCAAAUUAUAACCAUGCCAUUCUGUCAGAUCCGCUUGUGAGCCAGGCUGUGAAACAACAAAAGAUUCAGGAAGUCCAAGAGGCUUUAGCUCGAAAGGCAGUGGUUCUAGGCAAAGUUUGA
rnacentral:rRNA from 1 species